rnacentral:lncRNA from 1 species
GCGCGGAGGUGGCACAGCCCGCGGCGCUUUCUUUCGACCUGCGCACAACGCGGGACGCAGAGGCGCGCGCGGGGUGCGUGGAGGCCGCAGGUUGGAUUCCCUACCAGUAAAAUGAGGUAAUGAUGUGAAAUUGGUCACGUUGUUGAAGAGUUGAAAUGAGAGAUUGGGCAUCAGUAUCCAGCUUAGGUUCCGGCCUGUGGAAGGAGAGAUUGUGGAAAAGCAUAACAACGAAGAGGGAUGGUAUUGCUCCUGUAACUCGGAACUGGAGAGGAGGCAAGAUGCUGGCAUAGCUGUUGAACUGAGAACCUGCUAUGCCAACAUAUUGCCAUCUUUCCUGUCUGACAGCAGCUUGGCUACCUCCGUCCUGUUCCUCCUUGUCUUGCUACAAGCCAUCCAUGAUAUGUAGGGCCCUGUGACUUGGUCUGUCUCGCCCUGACUUCUCUCCAGUCCUAUACCGAAUCACUCGCUCUGUUCUAGCCACACUGGCCUUUUGGGGAUGUUCUUGGCUGCACCAGGAAUAUUCCCGCCUCUACUGCCCUGUCUUAUCUUUUGGGCAUCAGUGGAGAACUCUUUCACCAUGGCACUGUCUAUAAAACCUUACAUGUGCCCAGCCACCGUUCACCUCAUGACCCUGCUCUGACUUGUCAGAAUCAUUGGGCACUACCUGUCCAUGUUCAUUUGCUUAGUUGCUGCUUGAUUUACUGUACCAGGUUGUAAGUCCUUUAAGGGACACCCGUCUUCAUUUCUGUUCACCAUACCCCUAAACCCUGACGUUUGCAAGUCCUCAAGUCAUGUCUUUGCGACUCUACCCUGGACUUAUUGUGCAACAGAAGUGUCAAAUAAUGAGAUUUUAAUCAUGCCAUGAAUGGCUGUGAUGAAACACUGGUUUAUAAGUAACAAAGAAUAAACAAAUGCUACUGAUUUCUAAGCCUGCAAACCCAACAUCUUAAAGGAGCCACAAUAAAGUUACCAUCAGGUCUACAACUCAGAGAAGACAAAAUAUUGUAUGGAAAAGAGAUUAUAUUCAAAAUAAAAGUUACUUUUGCGGUUUCAGCAUGGGUGUCACUUCUGUGUUCUUAGUUAAACCAUAAUUUUCUCUGUUGCAAGAUCAUACUGACCACACAGGAUCCUUGAGGUAAGUUAGUGAGAUUAGUCUUAAUCAUGUCUAAAUGCUUUUAUCUAGAAAAUGUAUGAUGUGCUCAUACUGGUAAAAAUGUCAUGAGUUUUAAUUAUUUUACUGCCUGGAAGUUUCUUUACUUAGAAGCGGGUGAUCUUAAGUGGAAAUUCCAGACCUAUAGAGCAUGUAGCAUUCUACAUGAAGACACAGAAGUGUUGAAACCAGCUAAUUAUCAUGGGUCUCAAAUGUGUCCUCUGGUUCCUUCCCACCCCUACCUUCCUUUUUCUGG